rnacentral:rRNA from 1 species
AUUGAACGCUGGCGGCAGGCCUAACACAUGCAAGUCGAGCGAGCGGCGGACGGGUGAGUAAUGUAUGGGGACUGCCCGAUAGAGGGGGAUAACUACUGGAAACGGUGGCUAAUACCGCAUACUAUCGGAUACCCCAUAUGGGAUUAGCUAGUAGGUGGGGUAAAGGCUCACCUAGGCGACGAUCUCUAGCUGGUCUGAGAGGAUGAUCAGCGAAACUGGGACUGUGACAAGGCCCAGAAUCCUACGGAGGGAGCAGGGGAGAAGAUUGCACAGUGGGCGAAAGCCUGAUGCAGCCAAGCCGCGUGUAUUAAGAAGUCAUUAGGGUAGUAAAGCACUUUCAGCGGGGCGGCGUUCCCCUCAGAAGAAGCACCGGCUAACUCCGUGCCAGCAGCCGCGGUAAUAC